AGUGCGCUGCCGGACGAGAUUACCUAGUGGCUGCUCCCGGAUACGGACGCACGCGAGGGAUGCAGGAGUCAUCUUUCACUAAUCACCGGAAUCCCCUUUCCAAUCAGGGCAAGGCAGUGUCUCAGAGACAUAGUCUUGCUCUGUCGCCUAGGCUGGAGUGCAGUGGCGCAAUCUCAGCUCACUGCAACCUCCGCCUCCCUGGUUCAAGCAAUUCUCCUGCUUCAGCCUCCCAAGUAGCUGGGAUUACAGGCGCUUACCACCAGGUAUGGCUAAUUUUUCUAUUUUUACUAGGGUUUUCGCCAUGUUGACCAGACUGGUUUCGAACUCUUGGCCUCAACUGAUCCGCCCACCUUGGCCUCCCAAAGUGCUGGGGUUACAGGUGUGAGCCAUUGUGCCCGGCCUAAAAUACAGUUUUAUAAAUAAUUUUUUAAUGUAUGGUUGAGCUGGUGGAAAAGUAAAAUAAUUUUUAGGGGCAGAAAUGACAAGCAAUGAUCAUACAUGUUUGGAACUUGAAUUAGCUCUGCUCAGAUAGCAUGAAAAAGCUCCAAACUGAAUAUGUAGUUUAAAGUGUGCUUGUAUUAUUAACACCAGACAGAAGCAAGGGCAAAUACUCUCUGGAGAAAUGCAUUUUAGAUCCAGGUACAAAUAAUUCCCUGAGAUAAGCUUCAAGAAAU
rnacentral:lncRNA from 10 species